ensembl:lncRNA
CAUGAGAAGAAAAUGAAAGGAAACUAGAGUGAUUGUGGAGUACAGAUAACUGGGAAAAGUGAAAAAGUGAAAGUGUUAGUCAUUCAGUUGUGUCCGACUCUGUGACCCCAUGAACUAUAGCCCGCCAGGCUCCCCUGUCCGUGGAAUUUUCCAAGCAAGGGUACUGGAGUGGGUAGCCAUUCAAGCAGAUAUCAAACUGAAUAUACAGUCACCUGGUUUCACACACACACACACACACACACAGGGACUCUCAACUGGAGGUGACUCUUCUCCCCAGGGGACACCCUUGGCAAUGUCUGGAGACAUUCUUGAAUGUCAUAGCUUGAGGGAUCUGUUGGCAUCAAGUGAGUGGAGUCGGUGCUGCUAAGAUUUUAUAAGACACAGGACAGCCCCCAAAGCCAAGAGAUACCUGGUCCCAACCCAAAAUGUCAGUAGGGUGGAGGUUCACACACACACACACACACACACACACACACACACACAGCCAGCCGCUAUGGAGAGAAACAGUGCAGCCUAAGGGCCAAGUGCAUCACCAGGUUCGAGUCCUAUCUUGAACCUGAUCUUUAGCAAGACUCAGGGUCUGUGGGACAGGGUGUAAAACAGAGCUAAGGAAAGCACCCACCUCCUAGAAGUAAAUGUUAGUGUACAGAGUGCACAGGACCACAAAGGCAGCUAACCCGAGUGCUUACAGGAAAUGUCUACAGGGCUAUUCUUGCGUCAGAGGAGCUGGGGCCACUGUGGUUUUGUUGUUGCUAUUGUUGUUUAGUCACUAAGCCGCAUCCAACUCUUUGUGACCCCAUGGACUGCAGCACACCAGGCUCCUCUGUCCUUCAUUAUCUCCUGGAGUUAAACUCAUGUCCACUGAAUCGGUGAUGCCAUCCAAUCAUCUCAUCCUCUGUCGUCCCCUUCUCCUCCUGCCUUCAGUCUUUCCCAGCAUCAGAGUCUUUUCUAAUGAGACAGCUCUUCGCGUCAGGUGGCCAGAGUAUUGGAGCUUCAGCUUCAGCAUCAGUCUUUCCAAUGAAUAUUCAGGGUUAAUUUCUUUUAGGACCAAUUGGUUUGAUCUCAUUGGUUUAUUUCUUUUAGUUUACUUCCCUACAUUGUCCAAAUUUUAUAUAAUGGACAUAUUUGAUUCUUUCUUUUUUUUAAUUUUCUUAAUGGGAGGGAAGAAGAGGAAAAAAACUGAGGGACAUUCUACAAAGCAACUGCCUUGUACUCUUCAAAAAUGUUGUUGUUUGGUCACUAAGUCUUUUCUGACUCUUUGUGACCCCAUGGACCACAGCACGCCAGGCUCUUCUGUCCUUCACAAAUAUUAAAGUCUUGAAAAACAAAGUAAGGCUGUGGAUUGUUCCAGAUUAAAGACUAAAGAAACCUAACAACCAAACGUGAGGCAUGAUCCCAGUUUACUGGGACAAUCAGAGACACCGGAAAGGGGCCGGCGUAUCAGAUCCCAGGGUUGCAGCAGUGUUACAUCACGGAUGCCAGGCCUAAAUUUGGUAACUACUGUGGUUGCGUAAGACAGAAAGCAAAUGUGGCAAAAUGACAAGUACUGUGAAUCUGAGCGAAGGGUAUAUGGAUGUUCACUGUACUUCUCUUGCAGCUUUUCUGAAAGUUUCUUGACUGUUAAAAAGAAGGGAAUUCCCUGGAAAUCAGGCACUGGUUCAAUCCCUGGUCGGAGAACAAAGAUCCGAAAGCUCACGAAAGCCAGCCGCUUUGCGCUGUAACAGGCACCCCUCUUUCAGGCACCAUGUGGCCUUGUCCAGUGUCUGCCCCCUCGUUACCUAGUAGUGCCAAGGUACCUUUACAGUCCGCCGGAUAAUCAACUGGAUUCUACUCAUGCAAUGGAGCACUGUGGGCAGUGAGUGAAUGGGAACAAAAUACAGGUCCAGGAACCACCUGGCAUCCGCUCGACCCAGCCGCAAGGUUCCACUGAUUCAAUAAACGACCCCAGGCCAAAUCAACACACACUGUUCUGGGCUACCUACCUGGGUCGUAUACUGCAGAGAAAGGCGAGGAAAUGGUUACGGUGAAGGUCAGCAUUGCGCUUACCUGGGGAGGGGUCACCUUCAAGAACACCUGCAAGGAAGCUCUGCAAGGCAGAUUUUCUUAUCUUCAAUGGUGUAACACAUGGACUCAUUUUAUACUCUGAAAUAUAUACUAUACAUUUGUUUUAUACACAAGUAACAAUAAACGUCCCACCAGAAACCUCACUUAAUGUGAGAUGCGCGCUGAACACCGGGGACCAGCCGCUGCGUGCUGGGUGCUGACUGUGUCCAGCGGACCGGGAGGGGUCCGGGCGGGGCGGGGCCGGGGGAUGGCCGCUGGGACCAGGGCUGGGCGGGGAGGCGGUCCGGGGCGCCCCCUGCUGGUGGCCGCUGGGAGUGCAGCCUGCAGAAGAGCGGGCUUCCGGGCCGACCGCAUGAAUGCCAGCUUCCCCUUUCUGCACCCACCGUUGCCCCUGUCACUCCUUCAGCCCCUCCAGUGCUCACGACCUCUUCCUGGGCUUCACCUCAGCAAAAGCUGAAGUCAACUCACCUUCCCCAGGGAACCUUUCCCGAUCAAGGCCACACAACUCUGACCACUUCUUCCCUGACGUCCUUUCUUUGAGGGUGGACAGUUAAUUUGUGUGUACGCUCAGCCGCCCUAGUCAGCAUCACCUUGGUCCACGGAUGUGUGGAGAUAGUGAGGAAGCGGCUGGCUGGAAUUUACUGAGGCCUCCUCCCUGCGGGCACUGUGCUGACUGCUCCGGGCUUCUGCUGCCCCUCCCCCAAGCAUCUUCAUUCACAGACGUGCUCCUUCAGCGUGCACUUAUUCAAACACCUACUCUGUGCCACUCUCUGAGGCUGCAGGACACAAAGUCAGUGGCCACUGCUCCUAGGGGUUCAGUCUGCGGGCAGAGUAGCUGGGUGUUGGUGAUGGGGUAUAAGGGGAGCUCUAAGACAGGCCACACAGCACCCUGGGGACCAGCGAGUAGGGGAGAGGGCGAAGCCGGCUCUAGUGGUGAGCUGGGAGGCGUCCUGGAGAUCUCCAGGCUAGGCGAGAUGUGCGCAGGCCCGGGGCCUGCUGGGGAAAGGCCGCAAGUCAGUGGUGAUGGAGGAGCCCGGGGGAGGGAGUUGGGUCUGCCUCUGGUCUCUGAGAGCCAUCAGAGGGCUCUGCAGAGGCAGGUAGAGGAGUAAAGCCAGAGCAGGAGGCUGCCUGCCACCCCUUCCCCCAGGAGCCAGCAGCCCCGAGAGGGUCAGAGUUCAGAUCCUCCACACAGCCAGAGUAAGUCGAACACCUACUGCGUCGGGCUGCCAGACCAGAGAAGAUGAAUGAGUCCCGGACUUUGCCCUCGAGGAGUCUGGGAUCAGCAUAAGGAUAAGAUAAGCUCUUAGAGUUCUCAGCCCCACACAGAAUGAGAUAAGGAGACAGAGAGGCCCAAGGAGCUGGUGCAGGUGGAGGGGAGCAGAUCGUUCAGUCAUAGGAGGGUCAUCCCUGAGGGCCCUCAGCAGAGGGGGUGGGGCUGACGGGACACUGAGAGCAAAGCUGAUGUGGGAAGGAGCGAGGGAAAGGGGCCGAUCCCUGCCUGGCCAGCCGCGCCAAGUCCUUAGAGGGAGAAGGCUGACUUGCUCUGUGACUUUAGAGAGAUGCUCACCCUUUCUGAGCCCAUGUUCUCACCUCCCAGACCAGCCUCACAGCAGUUACCUCACAAGGUUGCUGGGGUGAUUCCAGAUGAUUGAUGUAGGCAAGCUCCCAGCACACAGAAAGGGCUCAAAAACAUUCCAUUUACUAAGCAAUUUGGACUUUAUCCCUAGGUCUGUGUUUCCAAUGUUUAAAUACUAAUUUUUUAGCAGCAGAAACCUUUUUAUUCAAAUGAAAAUGUUCUCAGAACCCCAUGUUAUAAAAACCAGGCAGGAGUGAGGCUACUAUGGGAGCUGGAGCAGGGGUGGGGGCCGUGCUUCUGUCCACAGCGGGGGCCUGGGCAGUCAAGAGAGCAGAAGGGGUGGGCGGAGCAGGGGCCUGGCUCCUGGGGGGCUCCAGCACAAACUGGAACCCAGAGUCCUUGGCUCCUCUUGGCCACAUUGGACCGUUGGCGGUGCUUCCUCAGGGUGCAAGGUGGAGGCCCAGGGUCGGUCCAGACAUUCAUUGAGCACACACCUGGGCUCGGCUUGGGCUGGGGGCUGAGCUCAUAGGUGAUGGGAGAACAGAAACAUGGGGAGAAUGCAGUGCUUGGGGGAAGCAUGGGGUGCUGGGGGUGCUCGCUGGGCACUUCCGGUCAAGUGGGCUUUAAGAAGGCUUCCUGGAGGCAGCAAAUGAUCCAGCCAAGCUUGGAACAGUUAUUAAUAGUAAGUAAGCCUGACAAAAAGGCUGGGAAGGGUGCUCAGGCAGAGGGAACCGCACGGACUGAGCAGAGACACAGCACAGCCAGUGGAGGUGGAGCCCUAAAGCAAUUCAUUCAUUUUCCCCACGCAAGAAGGAAAGUGGAAAGGUGGGAAGGGGGCAGGACUGUGGUAGACAGGUUUCAUGGCCCGCCAGGGCACCUUCCACCCGCCCCUUCCCCCGCAGGUCCUGGUGGCUGGCAUUGAGGCGAACAUACCUGUGACCUAUGGAAUUGGCAGCCAGAGGGGACACAAGAGCACUGGCUGUCAAUUCAUAGGUCAGAGCCCUGUGCACUCGGUCUUGGCAGCCUGCUCACAGCCCACCGCCCUUCGCCACCCUGGUGCUGGGAGUGUGGCCAUGGGGGUGGGGGUCCCUGCUGGUGUGCUGGGCAGUCGCCGCUUUGCCUCCUCCGUGGGCGUGGCCCCCACCCCAGAUAACAGCAGCCCCACUGGAACUAGAGGUACUUCCACAUGGAGUUGCUGUUACAGGGGGUGGGAGCCAGUUGGAGGCCUGGGCCCUGUCCUCACGGCCCCCGGUCCAGUCUUUUUAUGGAGGCUCCUUAUCAUCUGGGGCCCACACCUGAAGUCUGAUGCCAGCACUCCUUCUGGGCGAAGUCCAGGCUCAACCCCAGAUCUGCUCAUAAAGCUGGGAGUGGCUCCCGUUUACAGCUCCCGGGCAGCCUGUGCCCAAUGACACCCCCACACCCUCUCCCCGAGUCCCUUGUUUCCUCGUUUCUUUCCCAACUAGAGCUGGGCCCCAGGUUCAGGUUUGCCGCUGCGGCCUCCACUCUCUGCCCUUUGCCCACCCUUCCUGCUGCAGCCACAGGGCAGAGACACAGCGAGGGACCACUGGGCACCUGCGAUCUCCAGGGGCCUCUGAAUGCCCAGAACCCUGAGGAGGGCACCAGACACGAAGCUGGAGAUGAGAUGGAGAGAAUGGUGGGGGGACAGGGAAGGGGAGACAGAGAAAGCGGAAGACUGAGGCAGGGGCGCCAAGAGAGGGCGAUGAGAGGGGCAGGCAGAGAAUGGGAAGGAGACAGAGCUGGGGGGCGGGGAGCAUGGGAGAAGGUGCUUGAGACAUCACCCCCCCACAGAAUGCUAAGAACAGGGCUAUCAGCCGCUGCCUUCUGGGAGAGCACUCAGCACCUCAGUGGCCCGACAGCCAGCAGGGUCCUAGGAGCUGGGUGACAUUGAGCAAGUGGCUUAACCUCUCUGAGUGCUGCUGUUCUCAUACCAGGGUGUGUGAGGUCACCCUGGCCAGCGCUGCUGCGGAGCUACCUCCCCUUCCAGCUUUGGGUCUGUCCCCCCAGUUGGGAGAGGAAGCGGGUGUUGGUUGGGGUCCCUGAUCUGGCCCAGGGCCCCUGGGGAACAGCCCUCUCUCCUGCAGUGUGUUCGCAUCCCCACCAAACAGGCUCUGGCCCCUUACAAUAGUAGUCCUGUGAGGCCUAGGGGUCUUUGGAGAACCCAAAGCUUCUAGGGAGAAAGCAGACCUGGGACUCAGAGCUUUUAGAGUGGACCUAGGCUAUGGACCCCUUUCCCAGCAGUGGAAACCAGCCCUGGGGGGCAGAGGAGGCUGCCCAAGGUCACAGAGAAGGUUCUUUUGAAGACCUGUAGGCAAGACCAAGUACGUGGUCUGGCAGAGGCAGGGGCAGCGGCAGAGAUCCCCCUGCUGUCCACUCAGGUUUCCAUCGAUGGAAACCGAGGCCCAGGCGCAGAAAGGACUCGCUUGGGUCACCCAGGAGUUGCCUCGGGGCCCUUCCUUUCUUCUUAGAAGGGCUGGGCUCGGGAGCAUCCAGGGUGGGUGGGCAGAGGGGCUGCAGGGACCUAACCCCACAGGGAAGGCUCUUACCUGGGUGCUGGGCUGGCCCUGC